AACGAACGCUGGCGGCAGGCCUAACACUUGCAAGUCGAGCGAAGCCUUCGGGCUUAGCGGCGGACGGGUGAGUAACGCGUGGGAACGUGCCCUUUGGUACGGAAUAGCCCCGGGAAACUGGGAGUAAUACCGUAUGUGGUCGAGAGACGAAAGAUUUAUCGCCAAAGGAUCGGCCCGCGUUGGAUUAGGUAGGUGGUGGGGUAAUGGCCUACCAAGCCGACGAACCAUAGCUGGUUUGAGAGGAUGAUCAGCCACACUGGGACUGAGACACGGCCCAGACUCCUACGGGAGGCAGCAGUGGGGAAUCUUAGACAAUGGGGGAAACCCUGAUCUAGCCAUGCCGCGUGAUCGAUGAAGGCCUUAGGGUUGUAAAGAUCUUUCAGUGGGGAAGAUAAUGACUGUACCCACAGAAGAAGCCCCGGCUAACUCCGUGCCAGCCGCCGCGGUAAUA
rnacentral:rRNA from 1 species